CCAGACAGCCAGGAUGUUGGCUUAGAAGCAGCCAUCAUUUAAAGAAAGCGUAAUAGCUCACUGGUCGAGUCGGCCUGCGCGGAAGAUGUAACGGGGCUAAACCAUGCACCGAAGCUGCGGCAGCGACACUAUGUGUUGUUGGGUAGGGGAGCGUUCUGUAAGCCUGCGAAGGUGUACUGUGAGGUAUGCUGGAGGUAUCAGAAGUGCGAAUGCUGACAUAAGUAACGAUAAAGCGGGUGAAAAGCCCGCUCGCCGGAAGACCAAGGGUUCCUGUCCAACGUUAAUCGGGGCAGGGUGAGUCGACCCCUAAGGCGAGGCCGAAAGGCGUAGUCGAUGGGAAACAGGUUAAUAUUCCUGUACUUGGUGUUACUGCGAAGGGGGGACGGAGAAGGCUAUGUUGGCCGGGCGACGGUUGUCCCGGUUUAAGCGUGUAGGCUGGUUUUCCAGGCAAAUCCGGAAAAUCAAGGCUGAGGCGUGAUGACGAGGCACUACGGUGCUGAAGCAACAAAUGCCCUGCUUCCAGGAAAAGCCUCUAAGCAUCAGGUAACAUCAAAUCGUACCCCAAACCGACACAGGUGGUCAGGUAGAGAAUACCAAGGCGCUUGAGAGAACUCGGGUGAAGGAACUAGGCAAAAUGGUGCCGUAACUUCGGGAGAAGGCACGCUGAUAUGUAGGUGAAGUCCCUCGCGGAUGGAGCUGAAAUCAGUCGAAGAUACCAGCUGGCUGCAACUGUUUAUUAAAAACACAGCACUGUGCAAACACGAAAGUGGACGUAUACGGUGUGACGCCUGCCCGGUGCCGGAAGGUUAAUUGAUGGGGUUAGCGAAAGCGAAGCUCUUGAUCGAAGCCCCGGUAAACGGCGGCCGUAACUAUAACGGUCCUAAGGUAGCGAAAUUCCUUGUCGGGUAAGUUCCGACCUGCACGAAUGGCGUAAUGAUGGCCAGGCUGUCUCCACCCGAGACUCAGUGAAAUUGAACUCGCUGUGAAGAUGCAGUGUACCCGCGGCAAGACGGAAAGACCCCGUGAACCUUUACUAUAGCUUGACACUGAACAUUGAGCCUUGAUGUGUAGGAUAGGUGGGAGGCUUUGAAGUGUGGACGCCAGUCUGCAUGGAGCCGACCUUGAAAUACCACCCUUUAAUGUUUGAUGUUCUAACGUUGGCCCCUGAUCGGGGUUGCGGACAGUGUCUGGUGGGUAGUUUGACUGGGGCGGUCUCCUCCUAAAGAGUAACGGAGGAGCACGAAGGUUGGCUAAUCCUGGUCGGACAUCAGGAGGUUAGUGCAAUGGCAUAAGC
rnacentral:rRNA from 1 species